rnacentral:rRNA from 1 species
CCUACGGGAUGCAGCAGUGAGGAAUAUUGGUCAAUGGUCGGGAGACUGAACCAGCCAAGCCGCGUGAGGGAUGAAGGUACAGAGUAUCGUAAACCUCUUUUGUCAGGGAACAAAGGCGGGGCCGCGUCCCCGGAUGAGUGUACCUGAAGACAAACCAUCGGCUAACCCCGUGCCAGCAGCCGCGGUAAUACGGAAGGUCCGGUCGUAAUCCGGAUUUAUUGGGUUUAAAGGGAGCCUAGGCCGGAUGUCAAGCGUGCUGUGAAAUGUCCGGGCUCAACCCGGGCCUUGCAGCGCGAACUGGCGUGCUUGAGUCCGCGGAAAGCAGGCGGAAUUCGUCGUGUAGCGGUGAAAUGCUUAGAUAUGACGAAGAACCCCGAUUGCGAAGGCAGCUGGCUGCAGCGGAACUGACGCUGAUGCUCGAAAGCGCGGGUAUCGAACAGGAUUAGAUACCCGAGUAGUC